AACGAACGCUGGCGGCGCGUUUUAAGCAUGCAAGUCGAGCGGUAGUAGCAAUACGAGAGCGGCGGACGGGUGAGUAACACGUGGGUAAUCUGCCUUUCAGUCGGGGAUAGCCUGUGGAAACACAGGAUAAUACCGGAUGCGAUGCCAUUCACACAAGUGGGAGGCAGGAAAGGGGCCAAGGCCCCGCUGGAAGAUGAGCCCGCGGCCCAUUAGCUAGAUGGUGAGGUAAAGGCCCACCAUGGCGAUGAUGGGUAGCCGGCCUGAGAGGGUGAACGGUCACAUUGGAACUGAGACACGGUCCAGACUCC
rnacentral:rRNA from 1 species